rnacentral:rRNA from 1 species
AGAGUUUGAUCCUGGCUCAGAAUGAACGUUGGCGGCGUGGAUUAGGCAUGCAAGUCGAGCGAGAACCCCGCAAGGGGGGACAGCGGCAAACGGGGUAGUAACGGGUAGGUGACGUACCCUCGGGUUGGGGAUAGCCACGGGAAACUGUGGGUAAUACCCAAUAAUCUCUCGGAGCGUGAUGUUUCGGGAGCAAAGGUGUGAUUCCACCUGAGGAGCGGCCUGCUUCGUAUUAGCUAGUUGGUGAGGUAACGGCUCACCAAGGCGACGAUGCGUAGGGGGUGUGAGAGCAUGACCCCCACCACUGGGACUGAGAUACUGCCCAGACACCUACGGGUGGCUGCAGUCGAGAAUCUUCGGCAAUGGGCGCAAGCCUGACCGAGCGACGCCGCGUGUGGGAUGAAGGCCCUUGGGUUGUAAACCACUGUCAGAGGGGAUGAAGUGCCAGAGAGUUAUCUCUUUGGUUUGACAUAGCCUCAGAGGAAGCACGGGCUAAGUUCGUGCCAGCAGCCGCGGUAAUACGAACUGUGCAAACGUUAUUCGGAAUCACUGGGCUUACAGGGUGCGUAGGCGGCUUGACAAGUAGGGUGNGAAAGCCCCCGGCUUAACCGGGGAAUGGCGCCCUAAACUGUCGAGCUGGAGUGAGAUAGGGGUGGCGGAAC